UUACCAUAAUUCUGAUUUCAACUUCUUCCUCUCCCUUGUGAUUUCCACCCAGUUCUAAUGACUCUAUCUUGUUUCCAAUUAUUUUGGUUUGAAGAAUUUUAUUGUCAAAGACUAUAGUCCCUGGUAAUUGCUUUUCCUUGUUGUAAAACAAGGGAGAACACAUGAUUGAUGCUUGAUAAAGGGUCCAUGAGUAAAAUUCGAGUCUUAACUAUGCCAUAAAGAUCAUUGAGACCCUUCAAAAAACAUAUAACAUUUUUCAUCAAAGAAUAGUUACAUUUUACCUUACAGAUGCAUUUUUGGAGUUGGUCUUAAUGACUCAAGUUCCUCCAAUAGGAUCUUCAGGUAUGUAAAAAAUCCAUAAACACUUAUUUCUCAUUGCUUCAUUGAAUGAACUUCUUGCAAAAGAUCAGAGAUCCUAAUAUGAUCUCCUUUUGAAAACCUCUCUUUCAAAUCCUCCUAGAGUUCCAUUCAAUUUUCUAUAUAUAUAGUGCUUUGUGCAAUCUGGCCAUUCAACAACCCGUGUGAUCCAUGAGAUCACCAUCACGUUACAUCUCUCCCAUGCUUCAAGAGAUAUGUUCCUUGUUGUAGCAUAUCCAAAGAUCUGUCAGUGAACUUCAAUUUAUUCUUAGACAAUAUGGCCCUUUGAUAGCCCUGCUCCACGUAUGAUAAUUUGCACCAUUGAGUUGUAUAUUUAUCAAGAUCAUGUCUGGGUUUUCUCCAUGAUGAAGAUAAUAGGGGAUGGAAGGAUUCUAAUGAUAUUUAACACUAUUGGCAUUUGACGAGCUCUCCAUGAAAACGGAAAAUCAAAAGGCAAGAAACAAACAAGAUCAAAGGAAGAGAAAAAAAAAGAGAAGAAAAAAAGGACAUCAGAAGUAGAGCAGGUCUUAGUCUGCUCUGAUAUAUUGGAAUAUAUCCAUAGUAGAGGCGUGGAAGAUUUAAAGAUUAAUAAUGUAUGUGGAAGGCAGCAACUCUGCACAAAAAGGGAUACGCGUAGAUGCAAAUACAAUAUGUGUUAAGAUGCAAAGAAAAGGAGGACAAAGAGAAGAGACACGUAAGGGGAGAAAACUGAAUCUUGUAUUUUGUUUAUACUGUUCUACUCUU
rnacentral:lncRNA from 1 species